AAACGACUCUCGGCAACGGAUAUCUCGGCUCUCGCAUCGAUGAAGAACGUAGCGAAAUGCGAUACUUGGUGUGAAUUGCAGAAUCCCGUGAACCAUCGAGUCUUUGAACGCAAGUUGCGCCCGAAGCCAUUAGGUUGAGGGCACGCCUGCCUGGGCGU
rnacentral:rRNA from 5 species